GCAUUGUGUCGGGUUGCCGUUUAAACAUUUCGCAAUACACACAACAUACUCAUAUUGCCCGUGGCCGGAACGGUGCAACGGACGAGAGUAUACGAAAAACGGUGCAAACUAAAAAAAUUUUAUAGUUCAACUAAAAACUAAACUAAUCAACAGCAAACUAAUAUUUUCUUGCAUUAAUGCUAUAAAAAAGUGUAAUCCAUUAGAGGGCGCUUGUGUGUGUAUGUGUGCGUUUAAUCGAUAAAUGAAAAAAGUGUGAUUCGACAGAGAUUGGCAUGCUAUUAACGCUGCCAUACGUGGAGGUAUGUGGAGUAAUGUGUCAACAGCAGUACUUGCUUCGGUGCAGCUGUACGAAGUGCUCGAAGCGCUAGCAAAUCUGGCAAAUCUGUGGAACGGUACACCGCGAUUUGAGGUUUUGUCUUUGACCUCCAUUUUACAAUAUUGAAUUUCUGGGUCCACUACGCAGCUGUGUGUCGGUGCGUAAUUUCAUUGUGUCAAAGUCGCCGCAAUCCUUCAAUGGUCUUUCAUGCAUGUGUGUAUGUGUUUGUGCAGCCAUUACUAAACUGAUUAGCCACAAAAAUUUAGUGCUCAAUUAAAAUUUAUGACAGAUGAGCAAAGAAGACACAGCAGAUUUAACGCGCACGAAGCCUAAAAUAGUCAUCAGCUACGCCAACUAACUGCCCGAAAGCGGAAAAAUCAAUAAUUGCAACAUUUUUCACGAACAUCAGAACGCCAAUAUGAGCGCGAUUAAAAGUGAACGAUAGUAAAAUAAAAGUGAAAGUGUGUGUUAGAGUGUCAAAAAUCGUAGGAAGUAGAAGCAGUUAUAUAAGUUCGAAGAAAAUUUGUGGUGUAGGUGCGGUUUUGACAGUUGCACCAAUUUCUACAACAAACGCACGCGUGCUGCUCUGCGCGUUUGUGUGUAUGUGUGUCUGGGUCAACCAUAUGCUGCAAUCGAUUUACAUGGCCGCAGCAAUAACACAAAUUCAUUGAGGCGCUCGUUUCGCUACAACAAUAACAUAACAACACCAACAUAUAUGCAUAUAUACACAGGUAGAAGUUUCACCACACCAAUAACGACGACGACGACGCCUACGCGAACUGUCAACGACGAGUAGUUUGCAGAAAUUUCCAGUGCUGGCAAUCUUAAAUUAUACUAAUAACAGCCACGAGAAGCUAAGCAGAAAUAGAAAUAGAAAUAUCAAACCACAACAACUCAAACAAAACAAAUUCUACAACCAAUUUAACUGCCAAGCACUUAACAGUCGCACAUCGCCGCAGCUGACGCAGAAACUUUAGCCGACCUCGCCGCCACAAUGGGUAAGAAAAAGGUGCCGAGUGAGGACCUAAUUGUACCGCCACAGGAUCAGCGCAUAUGCGGCACUAUUUGCAUAUGCCAAAUGACGCUCGUGCUCAGCUCGGUGGCGCUGGUCUAUCUAACGGUCGCCAUUUACAUGCCGUCGACGCGCGCCUUCAAGAGCGGCAUCGAUCCAACGCCCGUCAUGUGCACCACCACGCGCGCCGUCAACAAGGACAACUGCGAAUGGGGCUCGUGCGGCGAGUGGUGUCUGAGUAAGACGUCUGGCGCCUGCAUACAAAUCUACGUGAAUCUACGUACCAAUGGCACCAAUCUUACCUUUCAGAAUUGCACGAAUUCAGCGAAUAAGACAUGCUACGGCAUCGAUCAGGACCGCGCCGAUAAAGCGCGCUGCAUAAAUGAUGAGUGCAAAAAUUUAACGGGUACAUUUAAUUGUACCGAAGGUCAGUGCUUAAAUAUAACCGAUGCGUUCGAGUGUGUUUUCAAAAAUAGCGAUUCGCCAGUUAAGUGUUCGGGACGACGGGGGAAAAUCAAUUGUAUGGACAUAAACGGUUUAUUUUCAUGUUCUCGCGGCACGUGCCGCAAAAUACGCACCCCCUACAAUUGUGACCGUCGCUGUGUUGACAUACCGACACGCAAUAAGAAUGUGGUGGUGUUGAGUGGCGAUAAAGUGUAUUUGUCGCAAUGUCAAAAUGCCAUCAAUGCAGAGACUAAUGAGGAAGUGUGGAAUGAAUCCGCGGAUAAUGUUGUAAUGGCCUCGUGUUAUUUCAUUAAAAACACAUCAGAUCGGGUGGAGGCGUUGGAUUGCAUUAACGGCUCAACGCUAGAACACAAUAUGCUCACGGAUCUCACCAAUUUCACGUAUUUAAGUCAUCUGCACAUAUCGGUUUCAGUGCCAACGCCGGAGAUAGCGCCACCCGAUUUCGAUUUGACCAUUUCGAAUGAGUCGAAGCUCAUGAUCAAUCUGGAGGGUUGCGUGAAUACGCUAAUGGAUGAAUGCAAGGAGUUCUUGAAGGAUUUCGGACGUGAUGGCAGCGAUCAUAAUGCACGCGCGCGCUUCCCUUGCUUCUACUCGCCGUCGAAGAAAGAAAUUGUCGUGGCACGCUUCGACUUGGAGGUCACCUAUCGACAGUUUGUUAUCGCCUCGGUUGUGCCGUCCGUCUUGUUUGUGGUGUCAUGUCUGGUCUUGCUGCUCUGCCAGAAGACCGUCUAUGUGGGUGAUGAUGCGAAAAUGCGUUUCAAGGGUUGUGUGGACACGGACACGAUAUUGGCGAAAAAUAAUAUUGGCUCACAAACAAACUUGGGCGAUACUGGUGGAGGCGGUGGCGACGACGUAAUGGCACUAUGAGAUCCGUCACCAUACUUUCAGCUACAUCAACGUGGAUUGAGACCUGAAAGUUCGAAUAUUUAUCCACAUUUUUGAACAUUUGUGCUGUUGUCAUUGUCUGUAAGCGUCGUUUAUGAUGCAUUCCUCUGCUCCAAGAAGACAGUCCCGUACAUCAAGCCGGCGUGUUUGUCAUGCAAUAAAGCAGCAGACAGUCCAGUAGUAACAAACAACAACAACAACAACACAAGUUGUACAAAAGCACACUCACUUCACCAACUCAAAUCAAAAAGAAACCAAGAAAAUUUUACAUAAAAAAUUUAAAAUAUUUUAAUCAGCCCAAAAAUAAAAACAAACAACAAUUUCAUUCAAUUUCACUCCCGCAAAAUGCGCUUGCAAGCAUCAAAUAAAAAUAUAUUAUAAAUUAGUCAAAUAAUAAUUAUGUACCACAAACAAACCACAGAGAGCAAAUAAUUUAUGCAAACCACAAUCAAUUGCGAGUAAAAAACACAAAAACAAAAAACUUAAAAAAUAAAAUUGCUGCAAACAAAUUUUUGAAUAUAUUCUCGAAAGCAAAUAUGCUGUAUUUUAAAUUAAUAUUUAUGCGCACGAAAGAAUUAAGAACAACAAUUGACGGGACAUAAAAGUCUUGAAAAACUUAUUCAUUCAGACAAUAUUAGAUUUACAAAAACAAAAAUAAAAAGAAAACAAAAACUUACCAAAAUAAAUUCAAAGAUUUGUAAGUACUCAAUUCAAUGUUGUAACCCCAGCAAAAAGCAAAAAGCAAAAAAGCAAAGUACAUUCCAUUUAUUGUUUAGAAUAUAUGAAAAAUAUUUACAAUUGUUUACUACAACUAUGUUAAAACAACAACAAUGCAAGGCAAAUAUUUAUGUGUUAUUCCAUUUGCAUUAUAUGUAUAUUAGUUAAAGAUCUAUAUUCAAGCGCUUAUUGCACUAAUUUCGUAUAAACGGGCACUCAACACACUAAUAUUUUACAACAGUAACUCACUUACACACACACAUUUAUACACCAGCAACUCACUUGUUAUGGAAAGUCAAACGGUUUGGAGGGAUGCGUGAUCAAACAGAUAUAUUCAAGCAAAUUUUGGUACAAACAAUAACAAAAUAUAUGAAAAAUUAACAAUAACAUACAAAGAGACGACAAACUAACCAAACAAAUAAACGAACGUUAAACGAAGAAAACUAGCAAAAGAAUAGAUAAAAAAAAGAAAUUAAAGAAAAACGAACACAACAAACAGACUUGGGCCAGAUAUAGAAAAAAAAAACACAAAUAGGCAUGAAAAAAAGAAAUUAGAUAAAUUACCGUUCAAAUUAGUAUGAAGUGUGUUUAGUGAAUAUCGAAUAUUAAAUUAAUUAACUUAAAAAUAGAACAGAAACAAGUAUCAUAGAAUUAAAAAAAAAAAAAACUCCUGACAUGUUACGAGAACCAAGAACUUGGACAAACUGAAAAGCAACUCUGUUAAUAAUACGUCAA